AUUGAACGCUGGCGGCAGGCUUAACACAUGCAAGUCGAGCGAGCGGCGGACGGGUGAGUAAUGUCUGGGAAACUGCCUGAUGGAGGGGGAUAACUACUGGAAACGGUAGCUAAUACCGCAUACCAUCAGAUGUGCCCAGAUGGGAUUAGCUAGUAGGUGGGGUAAGGGCUCACCUAGGCGAAGAUCCCUAGCUGGUCUGCAGGGAUGACUGGCAACACGGGAACUGAGACACGGUCCAGACGCCUACGGGAGGCAGCAGUGGGGAAUCUUGCACAAUGGGGGCAAGCCUGAUGCAGCCAUGCCGCGGGUGUGAAGAAGGCCUUCGGGUUGUAAAGCACUUGCAGCGAGGAGGCGUUACUCGCAGAAGAAGCACCGGCUAACUCCGUGCCAGCAGCCGCGGUAAUAC
rnacentral:rRNA from 1 species